AAGGUGGAUUAGCAGGGGGUGCCAGAGGGCAGAAGGGAGGAGGAAGGCCACCCCAGGCAUGGGGGACCACCAGGGCAAAGGAAUGCAGAUAGGAGACAGAGUGCUAGAUGUGAAGACCAGCUUAGCUGGACUUAAGGGUAUGGAAAGGAGAAGUGAUGUGUAAUACGGUUGGAGCAGCAGCAUGGGCCCACUUCCUUGCUUUUGUUCCUACCAGAGAAAGCCACAAGGUAAUUUCUGCAUCAUCUCCUGGCACCAGGGCCAUGACUAUAAUUAGCAUCCUCGUAGGACACAGGGUUUGGGCAUCAGCCCUCAAGGGAGAAGCGAGGCUAUGGACGUGCGGGGUGGGUGUGUACCUUGGAAACAGGGCUGCUGACGCAGGGAGCUCUUGAUCCCUUGGCAUCCCACCUUCGGGGCCAUGUGAGAUGCAAGGACUGUCAGAUUGUUGGCCUCUCCCCAUCACCCCUUCACCUGGUACUCGGGCUGUUAGAGCAGCUGGUGGCCUCAUUAACAGAAGGAAAACCCCUGGGGUUGUGUUCUGGUACACGGCCCCUCUGCUCCAUUCUGCAGUACAACAGCUGCCCCUGCUCGCAGUCAGAAUGCUGACAGUGUCUCUGGUGAAAUGGGAAUUCGAACCAUUAACAAUGACGUUUCCCCAGCACCCAGCAUUUUCCAUUCUUCCUUCCUGCCCAGACCAUAUUGAUCUUGCUCCUUGUCCCCUAAAGUGUCAUAGAUUCUAGUUGGAACGGACCUCAGAGGCCAUCCCACCUGACCCAUACCUAACACAGGGACCUCCUCUACAUGCCCAACAAGUGGUCAUCCAGGCUCUGCUAGAACACUUCCAGUGAAGGGCAACUCAUUGCUUUCUGAGGAAGUCCAUCCAGGGAGGUUUUAGGGAUUGCUCUAAUCGCUACAUAAUUGUGUUUAUGCUUCACAAGUUAGCACUUGAUUCCUGUCCACAAUUCCUGCCUUGAAUCACGUUGUACCUGUUUGUGAACUGGGCAUGGGAGAGAAGGAAGCCUUUACCACUUUGCCAUACCUCUUCUACUUUUUGCCACUAAGUAUUUUAGCUCCCCUUCUCAAUUUCUUCUUCCUUCCUUUCUUUCCUUCUUUCUUUUCCUUCCUUCCUCCCUCCCUCCUUCUCUCAGUUCUAUUGAUGCCUUUCGUUUUAAGUCCUCAUUUCCUGGCAUAUCCCCUCUCCCCCAGGGGAUUGUCCCUUGUGACAAGAAGAAACAAAACCAACUGAUAAUGGUGUACGCCACAUUCCACAGGCGGUCCACCGCCUCCACUGGGACACCCGGCUUGCCAACAAAAGCACUUUCCAUACAUUCAGGUGGCUGGAUGGCCUGGUGGAUGAGCGCUGGAUAUGGAAUCAAGGAAUCCUGAGUUCAAAUUCUGCCUCACUUUCUUAACCGUGUGACCCUGAGCAGAUCUCUUACCCUCCUUCAGCCAGAAGAUAUCCCUCCAAGAAGACAACAGUACCUACAGCCUGGGGUAGUUGUGAAGAUAAAAGAUUUCUUCUAAAGUGCUUUGCAAACCAUAAAGUUGUGCUUAUUACAUUAUCCAAUCUGCUCCUCACUUCAACCCUUUGAGUCUGGUAUCAAGCGCUGGUACCCCAAGUGUGGAGAUGAAGAGGAUCCCGGAGGGUUUGUGCCGUAUUCAAUGUCACGCAGCUACUAAAUGACGUUUCAGGGACCUGAAUGCAGGUCUUCUGACUCUACUUCUGGACGACUAUCCCUGAGUGGGAGGUUGGCAAGAGGCCUUAGGAAUCUAAGAGUCUUCCUUUCCCUUGCCUUGGAGCUGAGCUUCUGAAGCAUGAAGGACACACCAUCUAUACUGCCUCCGAAAAGGAAAAAGCUUUAGGCUCUCAGGGGUGAGCCAAUAAUGGAUCCGUUUGAUUCUGACUGGCAGGGACUUGGCCAUGGUGAUAUAGCAGUUAAUGGCAUAGCCAGGGCUGAGAACCGUCACCUCCUGGUUUGCUUUCCUUGGCCAACAAAACUUGUCUGGCUUUGAUCACCGCUCUAAUAAACUUAUUAUAGGCAUGAUCAAGGGAUUUGUGGAGGCAGCAAGGCACAGUGCCCUUUAUGUGGAGUCAGAGGGCCUGGUGCCUGGGUCAGUUGUGGGCUCUGAUAUUUACUGUCCAUGUGACCUUUGUGCAAGUCUCUGCACUUCAUCUGUAAAGUGAGGGAUUAAAGUUUGGCUUGUAGGGCCUCUUCUAGCUCUUUUUAAUCUACAAAGAUUAAAUUGAAUAAGGGUAUGUGUGAAAUCCUUCACAAGGUUUGAAAAAAAAUUAAACAAAACUAGAGGAUGGGGGAGAUAGGGUUGGAUAAUAGUCCAUGUGAAAAGGACCUGAAGGCCUUAGUGAACCCCUAGCUGAAGGAGUCAGUGGUGAGAUACCACCUCCUGCAAAACUAUGUGAUCCUAGAUGGUGCCAAUAGAACCAAAGUGUAUGGAACAAAGGUUAAUAGCACCAGUGUAUUUUACCCUGGGAAGACGGGCCCUGGACAAGGACCCAAAUACAGGCUCCAAUGGGUAUGUGACUGAACAUCCUGGAGGGCUGAUGGAGGGAGAUGACAACUGUACCACAAUCAUAAUAGUUAACAUUAAGUCCCUACUAUGCGCCAGGCACUAUGCUAAGUGCUUUAUACAAUUAUCUCACUUGAUCCUCACAAUGGGAGGUCCGUGUUACCAUUAUCUCCAUUUGACAGAUGAAGAAACUGAAGCAAAGAUCGAGGUUAAGUGACCUGCCUAGGACCACACAGCUAGCAAGUGUCUGAGGUUGGACCUGAACUCAGGUCUCCUGGAUUCCAGGCCCAGCUUGGGCACCCGUCACCAGCUCUCCAGGCAUUGUGCCACCUACUUGUCCCACUACUUGCUUCACAGGACUGCUGUGAGGAAAGCACUUUGUAGACCCCGAAAUGCUUUAUAUGUGAUUUUUAUUCUGGAUACCAAAUUUUAAAGAUGCUGGCAACCUGCUUCUAGAUGACCAUGGAUUACGAAGGGGGCUCAAAACAAUGUCAUCUGGCCAAACACUGGGGAUGUUCAGCUUGGAAAAGACCACUGCACUAACCUCCCAACUGGUCUUCUGGUCUUAGUUCUUUGUUCACCUCAGUCCAUUCUCCCAAAAAGCAGACAGGUUUCCCUGAUGAGCAGGGCUGAUCAGAUCACCCCACUUCUCAAUCACCUCCACAGUCUCCCUAUAAACUCUUGUUUGUGGGCAUCUGAGACCCUUUGCAAUCUGGCCCCUUACUACCUCUUCAGCCUCUUUACACAUUGCUCUCCUUCACACACAAUAUGGCCCCAUCAAAUGCUCUACUGGCCCUCUCAGCGGCAGGUGGUGUGGUGGAGAGAGCGCUAGGCCUGGAGUCCGGAAGACCAGAGGUCAAAUCUGGCCUCUGACACAGAAGAGCUGUGUGAACCUGGGCUAGUCCUUUCCUUCCAUUGUCCUGUUUGGGUUUCCAUCCCCCACCCAUGCCUCUGGACGGGCUUUCCUCCAUGCCUGUGAUGCAAACCUUCCCCUGCUCUGCUUGCAAUCCCUACUUUCCUUCUGAUUCCCCCUAGCUACUACUGCCUCCCGUAUCUCCCCUAAAACCAACAAAUAAAGCUAAAAUAGAAAUGCAA